CGGUAAAGCUACACACGUGUCUGUACUGGCACGAAGGCUGGGGUUAGCUUUUCCGUUUACAUUACUAUGAACGGAUGCACUGAAGAAGCACGGACAUUUGGAGUGCAUAAGUAAUUCUCUUGUUAAGGCUGAAACCGAGGAUGACAGAAUACGA